CCUUCAUGCAACUCAGUCCCACAUUGGUUGGGAAUGAGGCAAAAGCUUGGAAAGUAGGCUUGGGACUAGACGUGAAGCUGCCAUCUUGCAUACAUAAAAGCCAUCAUGAGGAAGGAUGUCAGUGGCUCACAAUGAAAGGACGAAGGGACCAGAGCAGCUCAAGGCGCUGGGGAUAUUCUGCUGCUGCUGCUGCGCCAGCCUGGGAUGGCCCAUCUCUGCACACCCGGCAUGUGAGGAAAGUUCAUUCACGUUCGGUUAAGCCACCAUAGCA
rnacentral:lncRNA from 10 species